GAACCGAUCGAACAAACUAGGCCUAACCUGCUUCGAUCAUGCUUGCUUUCCCUUGGCUUUCUCCUUGGUCUAUCUGUCUGUCAUUUUGUAUUGUUCUCUUUCUGCCCUAAUUUCCCCCACCUGUAGGAAGGAAGGGGGACGAGGAAAGAACGAAGGACACACAAAAAAGGAGAAAAUGGAAACGAAGCAAAUCCCCCUUUUCAAACAAACUCACCGGUAAGAAAAAGAAAAGGAAGAACGAUCGUUG
rnacentral:ribozyme from 11 species